GCGGGACACGUGGUAUCCUGUCUGAAUAUGGGGGGACCAUCCUCCAAGGCUAAAUACUCCUGACUGACCGAUAGUGAACCAGUACCGUGAGGGAAAGGCGAAAAGAACCCCGGCGAGGGGAGUGAAAAAGAACCUGAAACCGUGUACGUACAAGCAGUGGGAGCCUCUUAAUGGGGUGACUGCGUACCUUUUGUAUAAUGGGUCAGCGACUUAUAUUCUGUAGCAAGGUUAACCGAAUAGGGGAGCCGAAGGGAAACCGAGUCUUAACUGGGCGCUAAGUUGCAGGGUAUAGACCCGAAACCCGGUGAUCUAGCCAUGGGCAGGUUGAAGGUUGGGUAACACUAACUGGAGGACCGAACCGACUAAUGUUGAAAAAUUAGCGGAUGACUUGUGGCUGGGGGUGAAAGGCCAAUCAAACCGGGAGAUAGCUGGUUCUCCCCGAAAGCUAUUUAGGUAGCGCCUCGUGAAUUCAUCUCCGGGGGUAGAGCACUGUUUCGGCAAGGGGGUCAUCCCGACUUACCAACCCGAUGCAAACUGCGAAUACCGGAGAAUGUUAUCACGGGAGACACACGGCGGGUGCUAACGUCCGUCGUGAAGAGGGAAACAACCCAGACCGCCAGCUAAGGUCCCAAAGUCAUGGUUAAGUGGGAAACGAUGUGGGAAGGCCCAGACAGCCAGGAUGUUGGCUUAGAAGCAGCCAUCAUUUAAAGAAAGCGUAAUAGCUCACUGGUCGAGUCGGCCUGCGCGGAAGAUGUAACGGGGCUAAACCAUGCACCGAAGCUGCGGCAGCGACACUAUGUGUUGUUGGGUAGGGGAGCGUUCUGUAAGCCUGUGAAGGUGGCCUGUGAGGGUUGCUGGAGGUAUCAGAAGUGCGAAUGCUGACAUAAGUAACGAUAAAGCGGGUGAAAAGCCCGCUCGCCGGAAGACCAAGGGUUCCUGUCCAACGUUAAUCGGGGCAGGGUGAGUCGACCCCUAAGGCGAGGCCGAAAGGCGUAGUCGAUGGGAAACAGGUUAAUAUUCCUGUACUUGGUGUUACUGCGAAGGGGGGACGGAGAAGGCUAUGUUGGCCGGGCGACGGUUGUCCCGGUUUAAGCGUGUAGGCUGGUUUUCCAGGCAAAUCCGGAAAACCAAGGCUGAGGCGUGAUGACGAGGCACUACGGUGCUGAAGCGACAAAUGCCCUGCUUCCAGGAAAAGCCUCUAAGCAUCAGGUAACAUCAAAUCGUACCCCAAACCGACACAGGUGGUCAGGUAGAGAAUACCAAGGCGCUUGAGAGAACUCGGGUGAAGGAACUAGGCAAAAUGGUGCCGUAACUUCGGGAGAAGGCACGCUGAUAUGUAGGUGAAGCGACUUGCUCGUGGAGCUGAAAUCAGUCGAAGAUACCAGCUGGCUGCAACUGUUUAUUAAAAACACAGCACUGUGCAAACACGAAAGUGGACGUAUACGGUGUGACGCCUGCCCGGUGCCGGAAGGUUAAUUGAUGGGGUUAGCGGUAACGCGAAGCUCUUGAUCGAAGCCCCGGUAAACGGCGGCCGUAACUAUAACGGUCCUAAGGUAGCGAAAUUCCUUGUCGGGUAAGUUCCGACCUGCACGAAUGGCGUAAUGAUGGCCAGGCUGUCUCCACCCGAGACUCAGUGAAAUUGAACUCGCUGUGAAGAUGCAGUGUACCCGCGGCAAGACGGAAAGACCCCGUGAACCUUUACUAUAGCUUGACACUGAACAUUGAGCCUUGAUGUGUAGGAUAGGUGGGAGGCUUUGAAGUGUGGACGCCAGUCUGCAUGGAGCCGACCUUGAAAUACCACCCUUUAAUGUUUGAUGUUCUAACGUUGGCCCCUAAUC
rnacentral:rRNA from 1 species